GAUGAACGCCAGCGGCAGGCUUAAUACAUGCAAGUCGAGGGACAGCACAGGUAGCAAUACUGGGUGGUAACCGGCAAACGGGUGCGGAACACGUACACAACCUUCCUUUAAGUGGGGGAUAGCCCAGAGAAAUUUGGAUUAAUACCCCGUAAUAUAGUUGAAUGGCAUCAUUUGAUUAUUAUAGCUACGGCGCUUAAUGAUGGGUGUGCGGCUGAUUAGAUAGUUGGCGGGGUAACGGCCCACCAAGUCUACGAUCAGUAGCUGAUGUGAGAGCAUGAUCAGCCACACGGGCACUGAGACACGGGCCCGACUCCUACGGGAGGCAGCAGUAAGGAAUAUUGGUCAAUGGGCGCAAGUCUGAACCAGCCAUGCCGCGUGAAGGAUUAAGGUCCUCUGGAUUGUAAACUUCUUUUAUUUGGGACGAAAAAGGGCCUUUCUAGGACAACUGACGGUACCAGAUGAAUAAGCACCGGCUAACUCCGUGCCAGCCGCCGCAGUAACAC
rnacentral:rRNA from 1 species